CCCCUAGAGGAGCCUGUUCUAUAAUCGAUAAUCCACGAUCUACCUCACCAUCUCUUGCCAAUACCGCCUAUAUACCGCCGUCACCAGCCUACCCUAUGAAGGAUAUAAAAGUAAGCAAAAUAGCACAACAGCUAACAAGUCAGGUCAAGGUGUAGCUUACUGAGAUGGAAGAAAUGGGCUACAUUUUCUAAACUAGAAAUCAUUUCACGGAAAGAACUAUGAAACAAGUCCUAUAAGUAGGAUUUAGCAGUAAAUAGGGAUCAGAAUGCCCAAUUUAAGCCGGUCCUAAGGUACGC
rnacentral:rRNA from 1 species